GGGUAGGGAGCAGAAGCAUGUGAGGUGUAGCUUGUUGAUAUUUGAGAUGAUUGAUCCUGAAAAUGAAUAAAGUGGUCCAUUGUAGAAGCAACACAUCGGGUUUAGCCGACGAGGAUGUAUUAACCGACAAAAGAAGUUGUUGUCGUUUCCAAUCAUGCCAUGCACGUUCUCUUCAUAAUCUUUAUUGUCUGUUGGAGCUGGCGACGACGUAACAAUCUUCCCCUCACAACAACUCCUAUUAUUUAUUUUUUUAUUUUUUUACUUCUUAAACCAAAUUACAUUCUUUUC
rnacentral:lncRNA from 1 species